CUGGUACUGGGAAGAAUAGGCUGCCUAACUUUUAGAAGAUCUUUUGGGGAAGAUGAAUUUGAUGAAUGGACCACUUUAGGAGAUGUAAUUGAUGACUUAAUAGCAAAUAACAAUCCUGAUGCUCUAAAGUGGUGUCUCAAAGCUAGCAAAAAUUAUAGUACACAAUCUGUUUAUAGAGCUAUCUUGUUUUGUUUAGAGGGGAUACUUUCUGCUGGGGCAGAGUCCCAAUAUAGUUUUUAUAAUAAUGAGAAAAGUAGAGUUUUUGCUGCUCCUUUACCUGCUAUCGGUUGGGUGCUGUGGAUUACUAUAAAUAACACGAUUGUUAGAUCUAAAUUGAUCUAUUCUUCUCUAAUCCUUCCCUUCAAAAUCAUUUCCCAUUUGCAACGUUGGAAAAUGCUAGGUGUUAAGGAUGCUGAUGCCAUUAACAAAAUGACCGAGGAGCUCACAAAGACAGCGGCAACCCUGGGUGCUCAGAGAGCUAGAAUUGAUUGA
rnacentral:lncRNA from 1 species